UACGGAGGAUGCGAGCGUUAUCCGGAUUUAUUGGGUUUAAAGGGUGCGCAGGCGGCACGGCAAGCCGGCGGUCAAAUCGCGGGGCUCAACCCCGCCCAGCCGUCGGAACUGCCGGGCUAGAGUGGGCGAGAAGUGCGCGGAAUGCGUGGUGUAGCGGUGAAAUGCAUAGAUAUCACGCAGAACUCCGAUUGCGAAGGCAGCGCACCGGCGCCCUACUGACGCUCAGGCACGAAAGCGUGGGUAUCGAACAG
rnacentral:rRNA from 1 species